rnacentral:rRNA from 1 species
GACGAACCGUGCGAACGUUGUUCGGAUUCACUGGGCUUAAAGGGCGCGUAGGCGGGUUUUCAAGUCUGGGGUGAAAUCCUCUCGCUUAACGAGAGAACUGCCCUGGAUACUGGAGACCUCGAGGGAGGUAGGGGCAUGUGGAACUUCCGGUGGAGCGGUGAAAUGCGUAGAUAUCGGAAGGAACGCCGGUGGCGAAAGCGACGUGCUGGACCUCUUCUGACGCUGAGGCGCGAAAGCCAGGGGAGCAAACGGG